GGAAGAUCAGAGAGAGGGAGGAAGAACCUCCGGUCCUUCAUGUUGGGAACCGUGGAUGCAUUACUUUAGGAAGGUCUUUGUCAAACGAACGUUGUUCUGUUCGAGUACUUUUCUGGAUUUAUUGGGACUCUUCCUGUUUCUCCGACUCCUCGUUUUGACGCUUCAGAAGAGCCCUGUUUCUUAUUGACUUUGGUCAGGUUUUUUUAAUGAUGAAUGAUUCAACACCAAUCCGGUCCAAAGAUGGCAAGCUACCCCACCAGGAUCCACUGUGAUGUCAACUGAUAUCAGAGGAAAUUCUUUGGACCGACUGUGAACUUUACUGAAUCUGCUUGAGUGGUAGGACAGAUUUGCACUUAAUUGCUCCUUUGCACAUCCGGUAAGGAGAGAGACAUUAUCACUGGACCCACACAAUUUAAAAGUGUGGGCUCACGCUAGGGGUGUGUUUUGUUUAUUAUUUUUCGUUUUGGGCCCAUUGUAUUUUGUAUAUAAUGUCAUCUAUGUUCAUUUAUUAAAUAUAUGUGAUUUACCAGGUUGAAAGUGACAGGUUGUGCUGCACUUGUGGUAAUCCAAAUAUAUAUAUAUAUGUUCAACCAAACCUUUUGAGUAUGUGUCAUUAGUCAUCCACCUUGCUCUAGUAGUCAGACCUUAGUGAUUGGCUUAGCAUUAAAUUAAAGAUUAAAACCUGUAUUCCGAUCGUUGAGAUAGGUGUUACAGAGAACCACUUUUUUGGAGUUAACGUAUCAAUCAUAGAUGGACGUAGUCGUCCAUUUCGAAAAAAUAAUUUUAGAGCUGUGACGGCUUGCUGCAAAAAGAACACGGUAUGAGUGGAAGUCUAUGGAAAGAUGUGCACACUUCUUGGUAAGUUUCACAUCUUCCUCAAAUGCACAUGAUGUCAAUUUUGAAAAAUAAAUUCCCAUUUAGAGGAAAAUAGACAAUAAAGCAUAACACAUAUUAGUGGAUACCAGCGUGACUGCUGCUAUUGUCUAAUCGAUGCCUGGUUGACAUCUGUGAUUUGUGUCAUGCGUCAGUCCAACUGUGAAUCUCGAUGUUUCAGAACAGGUCUGUUUUGCAAAAGGUCAUGGUAUGAUUUAAAUAAAUUAGUCUUUAUUUGUAAUUGUAGAGGUUCUGGUACACGAGUAUGUUGUGACUUUUUGUUUGGACAAACCUUUGUUAACUGUUUCUCCAUUUUUACAGUCGUCAAAUGAAAUGCUGCCCAUUCACAUUGAAUGUGGUGCCAUCAAGUGCUGCCAAAUUGCAUUGUUGCUUUGCAAGUGCUGCAUGUGGCAGAAGUUGAGAAGACAGGCACUAGACAAUCAAAUCACAUUCAUGCAUUUAAGCUCACAGUACAUCAUCAACAGAGCUCUCAGACUAUACCCUGUUCCCCUGUGCUGAUGGUUUUUCAAAGUCUGCCAUGUCAGGCACUGAUUUGCGCCACUGUCAAACAUUAGAGUGAUGUGUAGGUGAGAAUGCAGCUUUAUAGUUUUUUUGUGCUAAGAUAAAAUGGUCUGUAUUUAUGUCGCACUUUUCUAGUCUUGAUGACCAUCAUACAGUAUAUACAGAAUGUGCAAUUUAGAGUUUCUUAUAUCCUUUUAGACAAUGUGAUGAGAAGAAAAUCACCAACUAUAUAAACACACCUGAGCAAAAAGUACUCAAAAUGUUUAAAAUCAGAUUGAAUUUGGAAAAUUACCUACAGUAAUACCUACAGUAUCAACACACCCCCAUUACCGGCAAAUUACCAUGGGUGCACCUGCGGAACAGAUCCGUGCUGCGUGAGCACUGAGGGUUAAGUGUCUUGCCCAAGGACACAUCAGCAUGUAGACUUGCUUUACUUUAAACGCAUUAUUCCAUAAAUAGAAAUGAACACUUUCUAUAAGCCAUAUCACCGUUCUAUUGAUGAGUUUGUGUUAUGUAUACAAAACUGUCCAUGAAAAGCCCCGUUGGGAUGAGUCAGGUUCUGCCAAACAGUUUGAAAUGAUAUUUCCGUUUAAGUCAGGUAUGGUCAAGUUGGCUGACCUUGUUAAUUUUCUUAUCUGUGCACAUGUUUAAACUCAGAUUAAAUGCAUCAGGCUUGUGUCAGGUUGAGAUAGAAUUCCUCAUGUUCUGGUUGGGCUCGGUCUUAUUUCUACAGAAAUUAUCUAUCAGCUAUGCAGAGAGGGGAACAUCACAGUUUAUUAUCUUAAAGAAGAUGUAAAAGACUUUUAUUUUUUGUCCCGUGUGAAGAGUGUGUGAGGACAGAUAACGUUUGUGUCCAGCCUCUUUGAACAAACGUGAGAAUAAGUAAAAAAAAAAAAUAACCUCUGAUAUCAAUGAUUUCUGCUUUCAUUGACGCUUUCAUUGCUCCUCUGCAUCCCUGUGUGGUAAAUCAACACAGAUGUUAUGACGUCAAACGUCAGCUGCACUCAUAAGUGAUUUUUAAAUGACCCUCUGCUUAAUUACGGCUGAGAUUGUUUGAGCAGAUGCGUGCGUUUGUCGACUACUGUAUAUGAAUUUGCUGCCUCCGAGUUCUUGAGCUGCAGUGAACUGAAAUAAUUAGUAGAUUGCUUUUUGACAAGGAGCAGCAUAACGAUCUCUCAUACGAAUUACAUUUGUUGUCAUUUCUAAUGAACGCAUUUAAAAUGACUUCCUAGUAAUCAUGUCGCCUACUGGUGUCUCAGAGGGUCAGAGGUCUUUCUCACCGUCAGCUCCAGCAGUUCGUUGAGCAUUCCGUUGCGUUUCCUCUGGAUGAAGGCGUUGGCACUGCUGGACUUGGCUAUUCUUAUCCUGGUCAGUCUGGUUUUCUGAGUAUGGGAAGAAGAAGAAGAAGGAGAACAUGGUCACAGCGUCAGACUGCGUGCGCAGAAGCUCAUAGAGGAUGACAAAUGUCUUAUUUAAUAGUGAAAAUCUGCAAAGUCAUCAUUCAAACUCUGUACAAAUCUUCACAGCUACUGCUAUACUGCCGUCAUGACAUUGCAGUUUUGCUGCGUUGGUCUUUGUUACUCCAUUCCCCUGUUUUAUUUGUUUUAUAUUAUACUCCGGCACAAUGCCAUUGUUUUUUUGUUUUUUUUUAACGAGGGCCAGAUUUGAUAAUGUGAAGAUUUCCAGGGGCCAAUGUUAUUAUAAUUUUCGUUGUCACAACUAUCAUUUUUAAAUGGCAAUGUAACCAAACCUAAGCCACACAGGAGUGAAAAAAAGACUAACAGACCAAAUUAACCCCUGCCCAGAAUAAACCUGGGUAUAGAUCGGCCCAGGCUAGAAUAAUCAAUAUUUUAGUCGAAGAUAAAACAUGUUCUCGAAAUUAGCUUUUGUCAUCAGUAACCUAACACAAUGUAGGAUAUAGAAGUCACCAGCUAUUUUAGUAAGUUUCAUACAUUUUUCCAAAACAAGUCUCAAACAUUUGACAUUUCACAUUUUCUCAGGGUGAUAUUGAUGUGGUAGAUUGUCGCCUUGUAUUUUGAAAUGAAGUUUUGUCUCGUUCAGGGUUGUGGUCUUAGUUCGAGAUUUAACUAACAUGGCACAGCUGAAACCGCAAUAAAAUGUUGAACAAUUAAGUCAUUCUUGUGUAAAUACAUUCAAAACCUCUUUACACAAAACGGGUAUAGUCUGGCCUAGGCCAAUUUAUACUCCAGGGUUAAAGCGGCCUAGGCCAUAAUAUACCCGGGGUAUAAUCUAGUAUAGGCCGCUUUAAUCCUGGGUUUAUUCUGGACUGGGGGCCUUCUACACUAUGGCCUGUUACAUGCCAAUGUCCCAGUCACUCCCGGACAAAAAUAAUGCAUUGUAAAAGUGAAGCUGCGGGCCAUACAAAAUCUGAUCGAGGGCCAUGAUUGGCCCACGGCCCGGACUUUGGACAUGAUUAGUAUAGAGCCAUGGUUCUCAAACUGUGGAAUGUGAGCUUCCUCUAAUUGUACUUGGAGGAAAAUCGGAAAUAUUUCUCUAAUGUAUAAUCGGAGUGGAGCUGAGUGCAGAGAAAAUGAAACAAAAUAACAAAAAAAAAAAGUGCCUUGACCUCCAAGCACCAAGCAACAUUCACUACUCAAUAAUAGCAAUGUUCUAUGUUGCUACCCAAAGAGUCCAUCUGCAGUGUAUUUGUGUGGAACAUUCAAUUCUGAAACCAGGCCCAUUAAUGUGCUGCUAUUACUGCAUUUAUGCUCUUUGGGGAAAUCUUUCCACAAAGUUCUGUAACCUGGCUUCAGGCCGCAUUUGCUCCUCGUCAGCCAUUAGAGUGGCGCUGAUGUUGUGUGAGAGGAGCAGUUUCUCCCAGAGGUGUCAGUUGUCAUGGGUUCAUACAGGCCAGGCGUGUUCUUACACAGCUUUGUUAAUAAUUUCUGUCUGUCUUGCUCUGUGCACACAGACACAUAAAAGGGCCUUUUUCCGAAACUGUUGCCACAAACUGGUCUAACAAAUCAUACCCAUCACAAGAUUUUGCUCAACUGGAACCAAUCCACAGAAACUGUAUUUUGUUUCAGAGAUGAAAUGUCAAACAUGAUGUGGCUCUGUUUUGGUACAGUUUUAGAGUUUUUGGCUGUUUUACCAAAGAUUUCGCUGAGAAAAACAACUCAUUAACAAAUGAAGCAUAUGAAGACUGAAAGACCUGAGUUCACAAGUUUCAAACUUUCCUCAUUAAUUUCUGUAUUUCCUUCUCUUCAAUUGUACCUUCUUUGUUAUUUAUUUCCUAAGCUUUGCCUUAUCUUGUUCCAUUGACACAGCGUGGUUUGAUUUUGCUGCUGGUUUAUAUUUUAAUUUUAUGUGAAGCUUAGAAAGUAGGCUCAAGGUAAUGACGAUCCAAAUAAAUAACGGAGAAUCUGCUUGAAACUGCAGCAUUUAUCAGAAUUAGAUACAAAACCUUCAAACUUCACCUUGAGAUAAAACCACCAGUCAUCAGGGGAAAAAAAUAAUUUAACUGAAAACAUGAGGUCUGUCAGCCAAUGAGAUAAUUACAGUUAAUACAGUAGAUGAUUUAUUCAUGUGUGCUCAUUCUCCCCUUUAGAGGCUGAGCAGUUUAUUACAAUCUUUUGAAUGACCAUGAAUCCUUGAAGUUUACUUUUCCAACAUUUAUGAGUGGAAAAUUAAGAAAAUAAAAAAAAUAAAACUUGCACAUUAUCCUUCCUAUAUGUAGUUAAAUCCUUAAAGAAAUGAACAG